rnacentral:rRNA from 1 species
GAUGAACGCUGGCGGCGUGCCUAAUACAUGCAAGUCGAGCGAACAGACGCGGCGCUUGCUCCUCUGACGUUAGCGGCGGACGGGUGAGUAACACGUGGAUAACCUACCUAUAAGACUGGGAUAACUUCGGGAAACCGGAGCUAAUACCGGAUAAUAUAUUGAACCGCAUGGUUCAAUAGUGAAAGACGGUUUUGCUGUCACUUAUAGAUGGAUCCGCGCCGCAUUAGCUAGUUGGUAAGGUAACGGCUUACCAAGGCAACGAUGCGUAGCCGACCUGAGAGAGUGAUCGGCCACACUGGAACUGAGACACGGUCCAGACUCCUACGGGAGGCAGCAGUAGGGAAUCUUCCGCAAUGGGCGAAAGCCUGACGGAGCAACGCCGCGUGAGUGAUGAAGGUCUUCGGAUCGUAAAACUCUGUUAUUAGUGAAGAACAAAUGUGUAAGUAACUAUGCACGUCUUGACGGUACCGAAUCAGAAAGCCACGGCUAACUACGUG